AAUCUGGCUGCAAAAUCUGUUACCCCAUUGAUCCCAGGGUUAAUUCAGCUGAUCUGGUUGGCUAGGUGGGUGUACAUAUU
rfam:Callithrix jacchus chromosome Y, whole genome shotgun sequence